UUGAAUGGUCUUUGACCUUCUACCCCUCCAAACCUGUGGAAGCAAAAAAUGUGCUUCGGCGUCCUUUUUGGGCGCCGCUUUUAUGCAUAAAUCUGUGUGUCGUCUGAAUCAUACAAAAGAAUCA
rnacentral:misc_RNA from 1 species